GUCUGAUGUUUGCCAGUAUUGAGACGGAUACGGUCGAGUGUGUGAAUGACCCGGCUGCAGGCUAACCGCUCCUGAUCAGCACUCUUGUAUUUUGUACAGAAUAAAUGGUCAAUGCAGAAGGG